rnacentral:rRNA from 2 species
AAACUUUCAACAACGGAUCUCUUGGUUCUGGCAUCGAUGAAGAACGCAGCGAAAUGCGAUAAGUAAUGUGAAUUGCAGAAUUCAGUGAAUCAUCGAAUCUUUGAACGCACAUUGCGCCCCCUUGGUAUUCCGAGGGGCAUGCCUGUUCGAGCGUCAUUU